CCCCGCCAACAAAUACACGAAAAUGCUAUAAUAAUGGAUAAACCUUGAUAUAUUUCUCCUUUCACAAACAACACACCUGAAGUACAUACAUCAUUGUACAUGAUGGAAGGUCAUUAAAGAGUAUACUUGACAGAUAAACGUAUAAUAUGCCUUUAGAGUACCCGAUGAAGUAUAUAUCAGUUUCUAUUAUACAUUUUUAAUGGCGAUUUAAUGACAUUUUUAAUAUUU
rnacentral:lncRNA from 1 species